CCUCCUCAUCACUUCCGCAAAAUCUAAGAGGGGAUUUCCUCGGAGAGGAUUGUAUAUACUCAUUUCUGCAAGUUCUCUCAUUGGUGAAUUACAGAAAUUGGGUACUUUUAUCACUUUCGCAAAAUCUCAUCCGUGCGUCACUUCUGUAAAAUCGAAGAGGCGAUUUCUGUAAGUUCUCUUCGUAGUCAUUUCAUCCAUUUCUAAUUGAGCUUAAAGCUUUUAUCAUUUUGCCUCUGAGAAAUCUGCCAUUUAUUUGCUGGCUGGCUGACUGUUUUUCUUUUUAAGCUUUUAUCAUUUUGCCUCUGAGAAAUCUGCCAUUUAUUUGCCUCAAGGCAAUGAAAUUCAGUGCCCAUGUGAUAGGUGUUGUAAUGUCCGUUGGACUCAAAGGGAUGUAGUGUAUAAUCGAUCGUGGAUUUGUUGAAGGUUAUAAAAGAUAGAUCAAUCACGGGGAAUGGAAAAUCCAUUUGAAUCAUCAAACUGCUGAUGCAUUCACGACAGCAUUUGGAAAGGAGAAGCCUGCUUGAAUUAAAGGCUAUGGUAGAUCAGUCACAACAACUUCUCUGAAAAAAAUGAGGAAAUGAAUGAGCUUAAACAAAAGCAUGCUAAAGAAGUCACUUCUAUGAAGGAAGAAAUUAUAAGUGAAAUGAGUGAAGAAAUGCGACAGUUUUUUAGUCAAUUGGUGCAAAAAUAAUCCUAGAUUGAAUUUUUAAGAUAUACCAGGGAGUGAUGGAUCUAACAUUCCUUCACCUGAUGCAAGUAAUGCACAGGCUAUAAGAGAAAAAAAUCUUUCAAAUUUAUCCAGCUCAGCUCAUGCUUCGAUUUCUGAAAAGGAUCAAUGCGGGGGAUCAAAUUGGAAUGGUGGGCGCCACAACUCAACUUGAUCUAGAUUAAAGUGAAUGAUGAAGAAUUUUUGAAAUAUUUUGAUAUACGUUUAUAUACAUUUGGUUUUGUGUGGAACUUGGUACAAAUUUUUAUUAUGUUGUUUUCUAAUUAGUAUGUAAGAGACGUGUCUUUUUG